AACUGGUAACUGCUGGUGACUACUGGAUCUGCGUGCUGCAUUGCUGAGGGAAUUGCAGGCAUAACUCCAUGUCGAUACGUUAUUGGCUAUAGUUAUCUAUUCAAUACGUGAUAGGGAAUUCUCUAGUUCGGAUAAUCCUAAAUCGCAACAGGACCAUAUCAAUUUGAAAGAUGAGUGUCCCCGGUGUUAUUGCGGGCGCAGGCCAAGGAGGCGGCGGCUACCCAGGGUCGGGGGGAUACAGACCUCCAUCACAUAGGAAACCAAGCAGUUCUAGCAUAGAAAAGCACAAAAUUGAAUCUAUCGAAAAAGAGAGAAGGAAAGAAAAAAAGAAACAACAACAAAGUGCCGGAAGUAGUAGCGGAAGUGGCGGUGGAGGCGGAAGUCCCAGCAGCAAAAGCAAGAAAUCUUGUCUGAUCAGCAUCGUGGCAGCCUCGUUCUGGAUUGGCGUAGUAGUGUUGCAGACGAUAUGUGAGCAGGGCCCGCCGUGGAUAUAGACGCUUCCAUUCCUAACCUUUUGGGUGCUACAUCUCGUACACCAUUCAUAGGGGAUUGUACAGAAACACACCACUUCACGACAUUCGUUGGAUUCGUUCAAGCAGCCAUUUUCGUCUUGGAAGGCAAGUUUAAAUAUUGAAGGUGAAGGCCAUUCAUAUACUGGUACCAUUUUACGGUAACGUGGGUAAAAGGGAAAAUCAGAUUGGGCAUGAGAGCUGAGAAGGCUGGAAUGUGUGUGGUUAUUUUAAAUUUGUACCAGUUAUACGGACUGUCAGAAAUAAAUAGUCAAUAGACUCCCGGUAAUCCAUCGAGGCUGGUCGAAAUUGAGAAGCGAAAGGUUUCUAUAAAGAUUAAAGGCACUCCUUUGCCCGUCAAUUUCGAACAGCCACCAAGGAUUCCGGUAAAUAUGAAGGUGAAGGUCAUCAAUAUAAUCUGGUAUCAUUUUGUGGUAAUUUGGGUGGAAGGAAACACCGGACUUGACAUAACGAGAGCUGAGGAGACUGGAAUGUCGAUUUUUCAAGAUGGAUAAGUAUAAUUUGGAUGUGUUAACCCCAGAGUGGAGCUGGUCAUUCCCGACAAGACCGUGUCUUUAUACUGAAUGGGAUGCAAGCUUUUUAUUGUCGUGACGUCAUCACCUGUCGUGACGUCAUCAAUGGAUUGCAAUGGAGAUUUUAUAAAUGGAAUUUGUGUAGAAUGCCUGUGUUACUAUGUUUUACGUUUUUUACCAUAUUUUGCGUUUUGGAUAUAACAUGUACGCACAUCUCUGGAUAACAAACUUUAUUUUGUCAACUUUCUAUCGUAUUGUAUAUAUCAUAUACCCUCUAUUUAUGUUUCCUUUAGAAAACGAGUUGUUCAUUCAUAAACAUGUUGUUGAAAUUAAUUUAAAGCACACUGCCUUGAAUAUAUAUAAUAUUGUGAAUCUCAAUGCCGAAAUUAGGGUAAAUAGCAUUUAUCAGAGGAAACUAGUGUAAAAUGAAUUCAUCAGUGGAAAUAAUUUAAGGGUAAAAAAAUAAUACACCAGUGAAAGUGUUAACCUUGUUAUUUGCAUAUUAGGGUAUGUAGUGGCCAGUUAUCUAUUAGCCAGAAUUGGCCAGUUAGGUGAAGGGAAUAUCGGCAGUAUAAAUAUAUGAAUAAGGGUUCGUACUCGUUGCAGACGAUCAGAAACGGAAACACUCAAAAACGUUACACCGGACAUGAAGCUUUUUUCUGGUGAGGCUUGAUCCAUUCGAUCCCGUUAGCCAUACUUCUCUUUUAGAAACCGGGACCGUAAGUUGCCCUUCAUGAAAUUCAUUCCAUUACCAGAUUGUAAAAUCUCAAUAGAGCAAACGUCGUGAUAUUGCAAAAAGUGUUGCCAUCUAGGAGAGGCAAGCCAACUGAACUGGUGGACAACUUAACAGUGUAUUAGGUCCUGCCAUGCACGAUAGGGCGUUCUCAUCGGAGAUGUGUUCGUAGUUUCUCGACUCCAUUCAUAAAAUCAGCAUUAACCGAAUAGGAUCAUAUUACGAAGAAUAGAUAAAGAAGAGUCAUUAACAAUUAUUGAUAUCAUAGAGGUGCACGUAGAGGCAGGUAUUCGGGACUAAAGUAACUGUGUCGUCUUUGGUCUGGAAUGCAACCAUUCUGUCAGAUUUCUCAACAAGUUUGUUUUUAUUUUCUAAAUUCUGUAACGGUGGAUAAUUGCACGAGUCACGAAUCAUCAUACUUUUCAAAUCGGAGGGAAAAUGUAAAGAUCUAGAUAUUUAUUUCGUUAGUGGUUGUUAGACAGAAUGUUGGUAACGUUGGUGAGGGAUACUUGCCGAUCGUAAGUGUGACUGAUACUGUAAAUGUAGCCAUAGUCUUUGCCAACAACAGUGUGUCCAGUGCGCAAAAGGAGGUAAAAUUGACAGACCCGAUGCGAUUUACCUAAUGUUCGCUGCACUGGUCGGAAUACGUUUUUUUAGUCGCAGUCGCUCGUUGGCAAGCUUUCCCUUAUAUUAGAUGUUGUUGAUUAGUUAAUUAGAAAAUGAGUUGAAUUUAGAAUGCAUAGCCCAUCAAGUCCUGUGAUUUUCAUAAAAAACUUCGUCAUAACCAAAUUGUAAUAAUCUGCUGUAUCUUUUUCAAGGCAAAGGGCAAAGAAAUAAGAAAAGCACAAAAAUAUGAAUCUAUGGGGCGUGUGUCCUUAGUUUGGUAAAACUAUGUUUGUUCAGAUUCAUGUUCAUCAUUUAUCAUAUAAAGAUGAUAACGCUAGCUUUUUUCAAACCAUCGCCGUGUUUUAAGCAGUGGCUUUUAAUAAAACCAAGUAUUGAUUAUACUUGAUAUAACGAAUAUCUUAGUCCGAGAUAUUGCAUGAUGUAGUUUGUCCGACUUACAACAAAACCUCUGCUAUAUGUACUUUAUUAUGCUUUCGGCAUAUUAUUUUGAAUCGUAUCUUCAUUACUCAAUAGCUCUUCAAAAUUUGUAUUUUAUUACACCUCAUUCGUUUC